AGUGAACGCUGGCGGUAGGCCUAACACAUGCAAGUCGAACGGCAGCACAGUAAGAGCUUGCUCUUACGGGUGGCGAGUGGCGGACGGGUGAGGAAUACAUCGGAAUCUACUUUUUCGUGGGGGAUAACGUAGGGAAACUUACGCUAAUACCGCAUACGACCUACGGGUGAAAGCAGGGGAUCUUCGUACCUUGCGCGAUUGAAUGAGCCGAUGUCGGAUUAGCUAGUUGGCGGGGUAAAGGCCCACCAAGGCGACGAUCCGUAGCUGGUCUGAGAGGAUGAUCAGCAACACUGGAAGUGAGACACGGUCCAGACUCCUACGGGAGGCAGCAGUGGGGAAUAUUGGACAAUGGGCGCAAGCCUGAUCCAGCCAUACCGCGUGGGUGAAGAAGGCCUUCGGGUUUUAAAGCCCUUUUGUUGGGAAAGAAAAGCAGCAGGUUAAUACCCCGCUGUUCUGACGGUACCCAAAGAAUAAGCACCGGCUAAGUUCGUG
rnacentral:rRNA from 1 species